rnacentral:RNase_P_RNA from 1 species
AGUCUGUCGCUCGUUUAUACGGGAGGAAAGUCCGGGCAACGCAGAGCUCCAUACUUCUUAACGGGAAGUUGUCAGCGAUGGCAAAGUAGUGUAACAGAAAAUAACCGCUUUGGCUUCGGUCAGAGUAAGGGUGAAAAGGUGAGGUAAGAGCUCACCGGUCAUAAUGGUAACAUUGUGAGCCGUACGCCUUAUGGGUUGUAAGGUCAUGUAUACCGGCAAUUAAGGAUUGCUCGUCCGAUGCCGGGGGGUAGACCGCUAGAGCUUCAUGGUGACAUGAAGUCGAGACAAAUGACAGACGCCUUUUUCGAAAGGUACAGAACCCGGCUUACAGGCCUGCUGUU